rnacentral:rRNA from 1 species
UACGAAGGGGGCUAGCGUUGCUCGGAAUUACUGGGCGUAAAGCGCACGUAGGCGGCUUUCUAAGUCGGGGGUGAAAUCCUGGAGCUCAACUCCAGAACUGCCUUCGAUACUGGAGAGCUUGAGUCCGGGAGAGGUGAGUGGAACUGCGAGUGUAGAGGUGAAAUUCGUAGAUAUCGAGAGGAACACCUGCGGCGAAGGCGGGUUGCUGGGCUGACACUGACGCUGAUGCGCGAAAGCCAGGGGAGCGAACGGG